GAUGAACGCUGGCGGCGUGCCUAAUACAUGCAAGUCGAGCGAAUGAUGAGGAGCUUGCUCCUCUGAUUUAGCGGCGGACGGGUGAGUAACACGUGGGUAACCUGCCUGUAAGAUGGGGAUAACUCCGGGAAACCGGGGCUAAUACCGAAUAAUAAAAGAGGACGCAUUUCUUCUUUUUGAAAGUUGGUUUCGGCUAACACUUACAGAUGGGCCCGCGGCGCAUUCGCUAGUUGGUGAGGUAACGGCUCACCAAGGCGACGAUGCGUAGCCGACCUGAGAGGGUGAUCGGCCACACUGGGACUGAGACACGGCCCAGACUCCUACGGGAGGCAGCAGUAGGGAAUCUUCGGCAAUGGGCGAAAGCCUGACCGAGCAACGCCGCGUGAGCGAGGAAGGCCUUCGGGUCGUAAAGCUCUGUUGCCAGGGAAGAACAAGUACGAGAGUAACUGCUCGUACCUUGACGGUACCUGACCAGAAAGCCACGGCUAACUACGUGCCAGCCGCCGCAGUAA
rnacentral:rRNA from 1 species